rnacentral:lncRNA from 1 species
GGAUCACAAGAAAUGUCAUUAACCACUUAGGAUGUUUUGACAUCUUGCUGAAGAUUGCUUCAUUAUCAGUGGAAUGAAAUUCCUUCUCUGCUUGUCUAGCAACUUAGAUUAUUUAGAGAAAGCUACUACUAUGACAAAGCAAACAUCGAAAUUAUAUUGUUGAAGAAAGGUAUUGAACAACUUUACUGUUAUAAAGAUAGAACAGCAAUGUAAUGAAAAUGAAGCGGUGGUGUUGCAGAUUGUAAUCCUUCUGAAGAAUGAAAAAACCAGAGUUGAAAGUGAAAUGCUGGCGCAUGCUGCCCGAGAUGAAAGUUACU